rnacentral:rRNA from 1 species
ACUGCUCAGUAACACGUGGACAACCUGCCCUUAGGUUGGGUAUAAACCCGGGAAACUGGGUAUAAUACCCGAUAGGUCUCGAUUGCUGGAAUGCAUCGAGAUUUAAAGCUCCGGCGCCUAAGGAUGGGUCUGCGGCCUAUCAGGUAGUAGUGGGUGUAGCGUACCUACUAGCCUACGACGGGUACGGGUUGUGAGAGCAAGAGCCCGGAGAUGGAUUCUGAGACACGAAUCCAGGCCCUACGGGGUGCAGCAGGCGCGAAAACUUUACAAUGCUGGCAACAGCGAUAAGGGAACCUCGAGUGCCAGGUUACAAAUCUGGCUGUCGAGAUGCCUAAAAAGCAUUUCAUAGCAAGGGCCGGGCAAGACCGGUGCCAGCCGCCGCGGUAACACCGGCGGCUCGAGUGGUAACCGUUAUUAUUGGGUCUAAAGGGUCUGUAGCCGGCCGGAUAAGUCUCUUGAGAAAUCUGGCAGCUUAACUGUCAGGCUUUCAGGAGAUACUGUCUGGCUCGAGGCCGGGAGAGGUGAGAGGUACUUCAGGGGUAGGGGUGAAAUCUUGUAAUCCUUGAAGGACCACCAGUGGCGAAGGCGUCUCACCAGAACGGACCUGACGGCAAGGGACGAAAGUUAGGGGCACGAACCGGAUUAGAUACCCGGGUAGUCCUAGCCGUAAACGAUACUCGCUAGGUGUCGGCCACGGUGCGACCGUUGUCGGCGUCGUAGGGAAGCCGUGAAGCGAGCCACCUGGGAAGUACGGCCGCAAGGCUGAAACUUAAAGGAAUUGGCGGGGGAGCAC